rnacentral:rRNA from 1 species
UGACCUCGGAUCAGGUAGGGAUACCCGCUGAACUUAAGCAUAUCAAUAAGCGGAGGAAAAGAAACCAACCGGGAUUGCCUCAGUAACGGCGAGUGAAGCGGCAAGAGCUCAAAUUUGAAAGCUGGCUCCUUCGGGGUCCGCAUUGUAAUUUGCAGAGGAUGCUUCGGGUGCGGCCCCUGUCUAAGUGCCCUGGAACGGGCCGUCAGAGAGGGUGAGAAUCCCGUCUGGGAUGGGGUGUCCGCGCCCGUGUGAAGCUCCUUCGACGAGUCGAGUUGUUUGGGAAUGCAGCUCUAAAUGGGUGGUAAAUUUCAUCUAAAGCUAAAUACUGGCCGGAGACCGAUAGCGCACAAGUAGAGUGAUCGAAAGAUGAAAAGCACUUUGAAAAGAGAGUUAAAAAGCACGUGAAAUUGUUGAAAGGGAAGCGCUUGCGACCAGACUCGCCUCCAGGGUUCAGCCGGCAUUCGUGCCGGUGUACUUCCCUGGGGGCGGGCCAGCGUCGGUUUGGGCGGCCGGUCAAAGGCUCCCGGAAUGUAGUGCCCUCCGGGGCACCUUAUAGCCGGGAGUGCAAUGCGGCCAGCCUGGACCGAGGAACGCGCU